rnacentral:rRNA from 1 species
AACGAACGCUGGCGGCAUGCCUAACACAUGCAAGUCGAACGAGACCUUCGGGUCUAGUGGCGCACGGGUGCGUAACGCGUGGGAACCUGCCCUUAGGUUCGGAAUAACUCCCCGAAAGGUGUGCUAAUACCGGAUAAUGUCUUCGGACCAAAGAUUUAUCGCCUUUGGAUGGGCCCGCGUUGGAUUAGCUAGUUGGUAGGGUAAAAGCCUACCAAGGCGACGAUCCAUAGCUGGUCUGAGAGGAGGAUCAGCCACACUGGGACUGAGACACGGCCCAGACUCGUACGGGAGGCAGCAGUGGGGAAUAUUGGACAAUGGGCGAAAGCCUGAUCCGGCAAUGCCGCGUGAGUGAUGAAGGCCUUAGGGUUGUAAAGCUCUUUUACCCGGGAUGAUAAUGACAGUACCGGGAGAAUAAGCUCCGGCUAACUCCGUG